rnacentral:rRNA from 1 species
CAGUUAGCCGCGGUAAUACGUAGGGUGCAAGCGCUAAUCGGAAUUACUGGGCGUAAAGCGUGCGCAGGCGGUUUGUUAAGACAGAUGUGAAAUCCCCGGGCUCAACCUGGGAACUGCAUUUGUGACUGGCAAGCUAGAGUAUGGCAGAGGGGGGUGGAAUUCCGCGUGUAGCAGUGAAAUGCGUAGAUAUGCGGAGGAACACCGAUGGCGAAGGCAGCCCCCUGGGCCAAUACUGACGCUCAUGCACGGAAGCGUGGGGAGCAAACAGGAUUAGAGACCCGCGUAGUCCCUGUCUCUUAUA